rnacentral:rRNA from 1 species
UGGGGAAUAUUGCACAAUGGGCGCAAGCCUGAUGCAGCCAUGCCGCGUGUGUGAAGAAGGCCUUCGGGUUGUAAAGCACUUUCAGCGAGGAGGAAGGGUAGUGUGUUAAUAGCACAUUGCAUUGACGUUACUCGCAGAAGAAGCACCGGCUAACUCCGUGCCAGCAGCCGCGGUAAUACGGAGGGUGCAAGCGUUAAUCGGAAUUACUGGGCGUAAAGCGCACGCAGGCGGUUUGUUAAGUCAGAUGUGAAAUCCCGCGCUUAACGUGGAACUGC